rnacentral:tRNA from 1 species
GUCCAUGAUGGCCGAGAUCAGGCAUCGAGCUUUUAACUCGAAAACAGUUACUUAACUUCAGGACA